UUAUGUAUUUUCUAACUCUGUUCUUAUUCUUUGCAGAUUUUUAUAUGGAAAACCCCGGAGGUGUCCCUGAACGCGUUGGACAAAACGAAACGGGUUCCAAGGUUUACGCCGCUGCCUCCAAGCCCUCUGAUGCUGAUCAUCUGAGGCAGCGUGCUCUGGAGAAUUCCUAUUCUAGGGCGCGUUCCCCUACUCCUCCUAACGAAGUCCCACGAGCUGAGGAAGGGGAGGUACCUCCGGAGGUACCCAAAGACACUACUCCUGGGCAGUCUCCUG
rnacentral:lncRNA from 1 species